AAAUAAAAGAAUAUUUAUAGCCCGGAUCUAAUUCUGUGCAGGAAGAAAAGACGGAAAGGUUUGUAUGUAAAUUUAAAUUGAUGCAAUGCCGAGUAUGGUGAGGUUGAACAGGUAUCUGCGCCAGGGGAAGACAGAAACACAAAUACAUGAGUGAAGGAAGGAGAAAUAUAUUGAUGGCUUUUUUGCGUAAAACACAAAUCAAAUUCUGCCGAAAACAAUCCUGACAUUUACGUGCUAUAUAUAAAUAGUAAAUAAUUAAAUUUUUGUACAUUGAUACAAUCGUUAACUUGUACUGAAUUCCAUUUUAAAAAUUAUAA